rnacentral:rRNA from 2 species
UGGGGAAUUUUGGACAAUGGGGGAAACCCUGAUCCAGCCAUUCCGCGUGAGUGAAGAAGGCCUUCGGGUUGUAAAGCUCUUUUGUCCGGAACGAAACGGGUAGCGUGAAUAUCGCUGCCUACUGACGGUACCGGAAGAAUAAGCACCGGCUAACUACGUGCCAGCAGCCGCGGUAAUACGUAGGGUGCGAGCGUUAAUCGGAAUUACUGGGCGUAAAGCGUGCGCAGGCGGUUUUGUAAGCCAGAUGUGAAAUCCCCGGGCUUAACCUGGGAAUGGCAUUUGGGACUGCAAGGCUAGAGUUUGGCAGAGGAGACUGGAAUUCCUGGUGUAGCAGUGAAAUGCGUAGAUAUCAGGAGGAAUACCGAUGGCGAAGGCAGGUCUCUGGGCUAUAACUGACGCUCAUGCACGAAAGCGUGGGGAGCAAACA